GGUGGCUCAGUGGUAGAGCGCUUGCCUAACAUGCAUGAAGUCCUGGGUUCGAUUCCUCAGUACCA
rnacentral:tRNA from 1 species